rnacentral:rRNA from 1 species
UACGAAGGACCCGAGCGUUAUCCGGAUUUAUUGGGUUUAAAGGGUGCGUAGGCGGACUAGUAAGUCAGUGGUGAAAGCCCAUCGCUUAACGGUGGAACUGCCAUUGAUACUGCUAGUCUUGAGUAUGGUUGAGGUGGGCGGAAUGUGUCAUGUAGCGGUGAAAUGCUUAGAUAUGACAUAGAACACCCAUUGCGAAGGCAGCUCGCUACACUAUUAUUGACGCUGAGGCACGAAAGCGUGGGGAUCAAACAGG